GCUGGGUAUAUAGCUCAGUGGUAGAACUCUUGCCUAGCAUGAGCAAAGCCCUGGGCUCAAUUCCCAGCACUGCA
rnacentral:tRNA from 1 species